rnacentral:rRNA from 1 species
AGAGGGUGCAAGCGUUAAUCGGAAUUACUGGGCGUAAAGCGUGCGUAGGCGGUUUUUUAAGUCCGUUGUGAAAGCCCUGGGCUCAACCUGGGAAUGGCAGUGGAUACUGGAAAGCUAGAGUACGGUAGAGGAUGGUGGAAUUCCCGGUGUAGCGGUGAAAUGCGUAGAGAUCGGGAGGAACAUCAGUGGCGAAGGCGGCCAUCUGGACCAGUACUGACGCUGAGGCACGAAAGCGUGGGGAGCAGACAGGAUUAGAUACCCUGGUAGUCCACGCCCUAAACGAUGCGAACUGGACGUUGGGCUCAACUCGGAGCUCAGUGUCGAAGCUAACGCGUUAAGUUCGCCGCCUGGGGAGUACGCUCGCAAGAGUG